rnacentral:lncRNA from 1 species
GCUUGACGAACUAACAAACGAACGAAUAGAUGGAUGCACAUACCAGAAAACAUAAUGCCCCUCUACUAUCGUAGGUGGGGCAUAAAAAUAAAGGGUCUGUAAACAAUUGACAGAAACAGCAAGUUGAAUAAGUACAAAAUUUGUUGUGUAAAGGAAAAUUAUGAAAUAUCUGUUAUUUAUGUUUCCUUUGACUGUAUAAAAUAC